rnacentral:rRNA from 1 species
GGGGAAUAUUGCGCAAUGGGGGAAACCCUGACGCAGCAACGCCGCGUGAAGGAAGAAGGCCUUCGGGUUGUAAACUUCUUUGAUUGGGGACGAAGAAAGUGACUGUACCCAAAAAACAAGCCACGGCUAACUACGUGCCAGCAGCCGCGGUAAUACGUAGGUGGCAAGCGUUGUCCGGAAUUACUGGGUGUAAAGGGCGUGUAGGCGGGGAUGCAAGUCAGAUGUGAAAUUCCGGGGCUUAACCCCGGCGCUGCAUCUGAAACUGUAUCUCUUGAGUGCUGGAGAGGAAAGCGGAAUUCCUAGUGUAGCGGUGAAAUGCGUAGAUAUUAGGAGGAACACCAGUGGCGAAGGCGGCUUUCUGGACAGUAACUGACGCUGAGGCGCGAAAGCGUGGGGAGCAAAC